AAUGAACGUUGGCGGCGUGGAUUAGGCAUGCAAGUCGUGCGGCAGCAGGCCCCGCAAGGGGCGCUGGCGAGCGGCGAAAGGGAUAGUAAUGUGUGGAUACCUGCCCUGGGGACGGGGAUAGCUGCUGGACACGGCAAUUAAUACCCGAUGAUGUCUCCGGACCAAAGGUGUGAUUCCGCCCUAGGAGGGGUCCACAUCCUAUUAGCUAGUUGGUGAGGUAACGGCUCACCAAGGCCACGAUGGGUAGCGGGUGUGAGAGCACGACCCGCAUCACUGGGACUGAGACACUGCCCAGACACCUACGGGUGGCUGCAGUCGAGGAUCUUCGGCAAUGAGCGAAAGCUUGACCGAGCGACGCCGCGUGCGGGAUGAAGGCCUUCGGGUUGUAAACCGCUUUUGGAGGGGAGGAAAUCUAGGGGGGAUCACCCUUCUAGUUGACCUAUCCUAGGAAGAAGGACGGGCUAAGUUCGUGCCAGCAGCCGCGGUAACAC
rnacentral:rRNA from 1 species